rnacentral:tRNA from 1 species
GCAGCCAUCGUCUAGCGGUUAGGAUCAGAGCCUUCCAAGCUCUUGGCCGGGGUUCGAAUCCCCGUGGCUGCA